rnacentral:snoRNA from 1 species
CCCCUCUCAGGAUCAUACCUGGAUAGUUUCCAGUACUCUACCAGUCUCGGCUAGGGGAGGGAGAGUCAAGCAGAGGCCUAUCCAUUCCAUUCCUAGCUUGGGCAGUGGCUAGGGGGUGGAAGGCCAACUGCUACAAGU